UACGAAGGGGGCAAGCGUUGUUCGGAAUUACUGGGCGUAAAGGGCUCGUAGGUGGCCAACUAAGUCAGACGUGAAAUCCCUCGGCUUAACCGGGGAACUGCGUCUGAUACUGGAUGGCUUGAGGUUGGGAGAGGGACGCGGAAUUCCAGGUGUAGCGGUGAAAUGCGUAGAUAUCUGGAGGAACACCGGUGGCGAAGGCGGCGUCCUGGACCAAUUCUGACACUGAGGAGCGAAAGCCAGGGGAGCAAACGGG
rnacentral:rRNA from 1 species